ACACACACACCUGCACUGUACUUCCUUUCCUGUUAACCAAUCAAGUUAAAAGCGAAGCAAGCAACCACAGCUAAGGAUUCCCAGGGGUUAUACCAGUAUUUGGAGAGAGACAGAGAGAGAGAGAGACACACACACACACACACACACACACACACACACACACACACACACACACACACACACACACAGACAGAUCGAGCGAGAGUGCGAGAGAGAGUCCUUGUGAUUGAAGUAUCUUUGGGAUAAAACUUAAGAGUGAAUCAAUCUUCUGGCUGAUCCUGCAGAUGAGACUGCAACUGAGGAGGGUGUUGAGGGCUUCUGCUAAAGAAACUGACUGAGACGACUCGGAUGUAAUAUUAUCUCCUGACUAAUGACACAGAGAAAAGGAGGCAAAAGAGAGUGGGCAACUGAUGCUGAGAAAGAGAUGGAGAGAGGGAGAGUGAAACAUGAAGGAGGGAAACAGGGGCACCUUGGUGUUAAGGUAGGUGUGUGAUUAGUCAUUCCCAGUCAGAGCGAUGCUUUACAGCUCUGCAAGGUAAGUUGCUCUGUGUGUGCGUGAGUGUGUUUGUGUGUGUAUGUGGCCACAUUUCUUAGAUAUGUGACACAUCAUAACAGUGAAACACAGUGGUUGUCAAGUCAUGGCAGUGAAAGAGCUUAUGUAAACAAAAUGAUUCAACCAACUGUGUCUACGGAUCACUUGUAGGAACGACAACUACCAGGUGAAUAUGGUGUGUAAGAGCAGCCAUUACACUGUGAAAUAGUCUUGACUUUUAGAGAGAAAUGCAGAGCCUACCCAUGUGUGUAUGUGCUUGUUUAUUUGUGUGUGUGUGUGUGUGUGUGUGUGUGUGUGUGUGUGUGUGUGUGUGCAGGUGACCUGCUGUCAUCCAAUGCAGCCCCUGUCAAAUGUGAUAUGUCUCCGCUCCACUGUGAGACCUGCUUCAGCUUUGAUUCAUUGUUCAAAUAGCAUUGCCAUCUAUUAUGAUUUGAUAUGGAUCUCUCCUCCAGAGGGGGAGAGAUGGCUCAACACACUCGACUGACUUCUGAUGAAAAGUACAGAUAGUGGCCAUCACUCUGCUGCAAACAAACAAACACAACACCCACAUACACACACACCUGCACACACACUUUGUGUUACCGUAGGUCACUUCAUGUGGACUUUUUUACAGGGGUAAAUGACAGGACUCCUCUUGAACUUUCAGUCUAUAACACUGACUCAGCUAAACGUUAAUACCAAAGACAUGUCAUCUAACCUGUGGUUUAUUCUCUCUCUCUCUCUCUCUCUCUCUCUCUCUCUCUCUCUCUCUCUCUCUCUCUCCCUCUCUCUCAUAAGAUGGAUUAGUUGGCUAUGCUAAUCUAUCUGCUGACUCCAAACAGUAUGUAGACAAGUGUGUGUGCAUAAGCAUAGGCAUGCACCUGUGAAAAAGUGUUUCUAUUUGCAUGCACAUGCACAUACACUACUCCAUGGUGUCAGUAUUUGCACACUCACUCUGCAUUUUACAAGUCGCCGCUAGAGAGUUACCGACUGAACUCACCAACGACAUGAGCUUGUACAGACAAUUUUAUCGCACCAUGAGAGAACUUAAAUGAGAGUAAUUUGUCAUUAAAAGGUAAAUGCUUUUCUGUUACUUAUUUUUAUGGGCUUGCUCAGUUUAACCUUUGAGAACACUAAAACUACAGACUGAAUAAACCUGAACAAUAAGACAUUAAAUGUUAAACUGCUGCUAUAAUAAAUCACAGCAAAAGAUGGACAA